GGGCUUUUGUCUCUCGCUGCAGCCAGAGCUUGGGAUCGCUUUCUGCUAUUCAACGUCCUCCACCUCUGCCCCCCUCUCGCCCCAGCCGGUGACAGGCUGUUGCCCUGUGAUCUGCAGGUCCUGGGACGUGCACAGACAGCUAAGAUGCCAGGACAUUCCAGAAGCACCUGAGUAAUUUGACUCUCCUGCCUGGACCCAGCGUACAGAUGGGAUUGUGCUUCAUUGCUGGACCCAGCAUUUAGGCCCACUACCUAUGAGAUUGCAUGCUCCUGCCUGGGCUGUGCCCACAGUGACCUUGUGACAUAUAUCUGCAUCCAUGACCUAAAAGAUGUGACACUUCUUGCCUGCAACCUGCCCUGCACAGGAAAGAUUGCGACUUCUCCCUGGAAGCAGACACCAGGAGAGAACUGUAACAUAUCCCUGGAUGAGCACCCAGGUGAUGUGAUAUUCCUGCUUGGUUCUUUCCCUCAGGGAAGAUUGUGAGAUACCCUUGGCUGAAAUCCCAGGUCAUACAGAAUUGCCACCCUCCAACAUAUCAUAUAAUGCCCUCGAGUGUUACAAAGAGUGUUAUCCCAAGGCACACAGCACAAAGGUGAGAUUGUUUCUUAUAUGCACACCUCACCAACCAUUAGGAUUAUCACCCUUACACAUGAAAAGAGCCCAUUGCUGAGGUCUUGAAUCUCAAAUGCAAACACUGUCCAGAGUUGGAAUUGUGACUGUCAUAUAUGAGCCUCCGGCCACAGUUGAGAUGGUGACACACUUCUAAACUCAGAACAUAGCAGAUGAGGACUCUACUAUAUAAACCCUACCAACUGGAGAGAUGUUGGCUCUAAUACCUGGACUUAGAGCCACAAGUAUGGUCAUGGGUGCUUACAAACAUGACUUUAGAGUAAAUUGUGACUCUUAUUUAUACUGGAUAAAGCCUUUGAGUAGUAUAGAGAGUGUACUAGCUGGGCGCCAUGGCUCAUGCCUGUUAUCCCAGCACUUUGGGAGGCUGAGGCAGGUAGAUCAUGAGUCAGGAGUUUGAGACAAGCCUGGCCAACAUGGUGAAAACCUGCCUCUACUAAAAUUGCAAAAAAUCAGCUGAGCAUGGAUGUGGCCGCCUACUGGGCCUUUCCUGCAGGCCCUGGCUGAUGGAUAGAAUUAGUACUCAGACACAGGUAUGCAGUGUAACAGCAGCUAGAUAAUGGCCUGCCUCUAGUGGCCAGAGAGCUGCCCCAAGAAGCUGGAGCUGCUUGCUUUCUUUCAGUGCAGGCACAAUGCCAAAAACCUGGAGCAAACACAACCUGCAGGUAAUUAACAUUUAUUGUUCUCCUUUCAGGGAUCGUCACUCCCGUGGAUGAUCAAAGGCGCCUGUAAUUUCAGCUACUCCGGGGGCUGAGGCAGGAGAAUCGCUUGAACUCGGGAAGCAGAAGUUGCAGUGAGCCAAGGUCGCACCACUGCACUCCAGCCCAGGCGACAUUGUGAGACUCCAUCUCAAAAAAAAAAAAAAGAAAAAAAGUGUACUAACAAGACCCAGCACACAGAGGAGACUUUUACCAUUGUAUGAACACCCAUCAAACAGUACACAUCAUCAUUGUGAGUUCUGAAUCUCACACAUAGAGGAAGUCAAAGGUGGAAAACUUGACUCUCAUAUUUGGAUCCAGUCCACAGGUUCUGCUAGCAAGGAAGACUGAGACAUAUUGUGGGGCUCUACGCCAAUGUGACAUUACUGUUCUGCCUUGGCCUGUACCUGAAAAGGCAUUGUGACAUAUUGCUGGGCCCAGCAACAAGGUGGCAUGAGUCUUCCGUAUGGACCCUGACAACAGAGCAUUGUGACAUAUCUUUAAGAGCAUCAACUAUUUGAUGUGACUCUCCUUUUCUACCAAGGCUUUCCUCAUAUGAGAGAUUGUGACACAUCUUCUGGCACAGAAAUCAAGUGAUGUGUUUCUCCUGCCUGAGCUUUGCUCAUAGAAAGCAUUGUGACAUAUCUCUGGUCUCAGCACCCAGGUGUGAUUUUGACGCACACUUCUGCCCAGCACCUGAGUAAUGUGAUUCUUCAGAAUUGGCCCGGCCCACAAAUAGGAUUGUGCCACACUGCUGGACCCAGUGCCUAAGUGAUGUAACUCUAUUCUUCUGCCUUGGUGCUACUCGAAAAAGACAUUGUAACAUAUCUCAGAGCCUUACACCCAGGUAAUGUGAGUCUCCUCUUCUGCCUUGCUGCUGCACACAGAAGCGGAAUAUGUACAGGAUUGUUAAUCUCAUCUUGGAUCUUCCUGCACUUGUGAUUGUGACACAUGCCUCUGUGUAGAACCUGAGUGAGUUUACUCUCCUGCCUGGAUUUAACCCAUAGAUGGAAUCGUGACAUAUCACUGUACCAGAAACUAGGUGAUGUGACUCUAUUUUCUUGCCUCUGUGUUUUUAUAUGGGGCAUCGUGACAUAUCACUGGGCCUUGCACCCAAGUGAUGGGAGUUUUCUCUCCUGCUUUGGUGCCGUCCACAAUGAAAAUUGUGAAAUAUUGCUGCCCUCCCCACUAGGUUAUGUUACUCUCCUGCCUCUGCUUUGCCCACAUGGGUCACUGUGACAUAUUGCUGGGUCUAAAACCCAGGUAAUGUCACUCUCUUGUUUGGGUUCUGCCUGCAGGAGUCAUUGUCACAUAUCUCUAUGCUCAUCACCCAGGUAAUAUGAUUCCCUUUUACUGCUUAGUUCCUUCUCACAAAACAACUUGUGACAUAUUGCUAGGCCCAAUACACCUAGCUGGUGUAACUCUUCUUUUCUUUUCUUUCCUUUUUUUUUUUUUUUUUUUGAGAUGGAGUCUCACUCUGUUGCCCAGGCUGGAGUGCAGCGGCAUGAUUUCAGCUCACUACAGCCUCUGCCUCCUAGGUUGAAGCGAUUGUCCUGACUUGGCCUCCCAAGUAGCUGGGAUUAAAGGCAUGUGCCACCACGCCCGGCUAAUUUUUGUAUUUAUAGUAGAGACAGGGUUUCGCCAUGUUGGCUAGGCUGGUUUCGAACUUCUAACCUCAGGUGAUCCUCCUGCCUCGGCCUCCCAAAGUACUGGAAUUACAGGCAUGAGCCACUGCACCUGGCCUGAUUCUUCUCUUCUUUCUAGGUUUCAACUGCAGCAGAGAUUGUAACAAACCACUGGGCCCAGCCGCAUAAUGAUGUUACUCUUUUGCCUUGGGCCUGCCCUCAGAAGGCACUGUCACAUAUUCAUGGGCCCAACGCCAAGGUGAUAUGUGUCUCCAGCCUGGACCCUGCCCACAGGGGGCAUUGUGACAUAUCUCUUGGCCCAUCAGAUGUUUGAUUGUUAUCCCCUCCCCUCUUCUACCCUGUGUUUGCCUAUAAAAGACACAGUCAUAUGUUCCUGGGCCCAGCACCUAGGUGUUGUCUUACUGGAAUGUGUCCACAUGGGGAUUGUGAUAUGUCACGUGGCCCAGUACUUAACUUGAUGUGACUCUCCUCUCAUGCCUAGGCCUUGUAGAGAAUCCCCUUCCCCUUUUGUUUUCCUUUUUUUCUUUGCAGAUCCAGGAGAUAAUCAACUAAGAGCCAGGCACCCGUUUAGGUCUAAUAAACAUUUUACAAACUGCUCUCUCUUUUAAUUCACCUAUCUGAGAGAUUCCUCUGUACAAUAAAACUUGGUCUCCACAAUCCUUUACCUUAACCUAAACCUUCCCUUUCAUUGAUCCCAGGUCUUCAGAUUCCACCACUUGUCAACCACAAAAUAUUUAAAUUUACCUGGAAGCCGCCCGCUUUGAGUUGUCCCGCCUUUCUGAACCAAACCAAUAUAUUCCUGCAAAACCGGCCAUGAUUAAAACAUCAAAAAAUAAUACAUGUUGGCGUGGCUGUGGUGAAAAAAGAAUACUUUUUCACUGCUGGUGGGUAUGUAAACUAGUACAACCACUAUGAAAAACAGUAUGGAGAUUCAUUAAAUAAAAGUAAAGCUACCAUUUGAUUAAGCAAUUCUACUACUGUGUAUCUACAUGAAGAAAAAGAAAUUAUAUGUGUAAGACACUUGCACACACAUGUUUAUAGCAGCACAAUUUGCAAUUGCAAAAAUAUGGAAGCAGCCUAAUGCCCAUCAGCUAAUGAGUGGAAAAAGAAAAUGUGGCAUAUAUAUACCAAUGCAUACUACUCAGCCCUAACGAGGAAUAAAAUAAUAGCAUUUGCAGCAAUCUCGAUUUAGUUGGAGACCAUUAUUCUAAGUAACUCAGCAAUAAAAAA
rnacentral:lncRNA from 10 species